CCACCUCUUGGAAGCAGCUUGCCACCAUCUUGGAAGUGGCCAGCCACCAUCUUGGAAGUGGCUCGCCACCACCUUGGGAGCUCUGUGAGCAAGGACCCCC